rnacentral:lncRNA from 1 species
UUAUGUGAACUUCCCUUGGUUCUAAAAAUCAUCACAUUUUGCGACAAAUGAAGUGGAGAAGCAGACUCUGAGGGCUUUGCAGUCCAGGCACCUUGGAGGAGGAAUAUCUGGCACCAAAUUUGUGUAGAUCAGUGGGUGUUUACUGAGACUGGACUAUUUUUCAGAAGACAGGACUUUUGUCAAUAUUUGGUGAUUCUAAGGAGACAAAGAACUUGAAGGGUGAGCAAGUUAAAUUGUAGUCAUUAGUAUUUUAUCUGUG